GACGGAGGGUGCAAGCGUUGCUCGGAAUCACUGGGCGUAAAGAGUGCAUAGACGGUCUCUCAAGUCUGACGUGAAAGCCCAGGGCUCAGCCCUGGAAGUGCGCUAGAAACUGAGAGGCUCGAGUGCCGGAGGGGAGAGUGGAAUUCCCGGUAUAGCGGUGAAAUGCGUAAAUAUCGGGAGGAAUACCGAUAACGAAGGCGACUCUCUGGACGGCAACUGACGCUGAGACGCGAAAGCGUGGGGAGCGAACAGG
rnacentral:rRNA from 1 species